rnacentral:rRNA from 1 species
GACGACGCUGGCGGCGUGCCUAAUACAUGCAAGUCGAACGAGUGGCGGAUGGGUGAGUAACACGUGGGAACCUACCCAUCAGAGGGGGAUAACUACUGGAAACGGUAGCUAAUACCGCAUACCAUCGGAUGUGCCCAGCUGGGAUUAGCUAGUAGGUGGGGUAACGGCUCACCUAGGCGACGAUCCCUAGCUGGUCUGAGAGGAUGACCGGCCACACGGAAACUGAGACACGGUCCAGACUCCGAGGGGAGGCAGCAGUGGGGAAUAUUGCACAAGGGGCGCAAGCCUGAUGCAGGCAUGCCGCGUGUAUGAAGAAGGCCUGCGGGUUGUAAAGUACUUUCAGCGGGGAGGCGUUACCCGCAGAAGAAGCACGGGCUAACUCCGUGCCAGCAGCCGCGGUAAUU